CGAACGCUUUGUCUUUAACUGAUAUGAAGAGCUUGCUCUGAUUUGAUUUUAUCUGACAAAGAGUGGCGAACGGGUGAGUAACACGUGGGUAACCUACCUCUUAGCAGGGGAUAACAUUUGGAAACAAGUGCUAAUACCGUAUAAUACCAACAACCGCAUGGUUGUUGGUUGAAAGAUGGUUCUGCUAUCACUAAGAGAUGGACCCGCGGUGCAUUAGCUAGUUGGUAAGGUAACGGCUUACCAAGGCAAUGAUGCAUAGCCGAGUUGAGAGACUGAUCGGCCACAAUGGGACUGAGACACGGCCCAUACUCCUACGGGAGGCAGCAGUAGGGAAUCUUCCACAAUGGGCGCAAGCCUGAUGGAGCAACGCCGCGUGUGUGAUGAAGGGUUUCGGCUCGUAAAACACUGUUAUAAGAGAAGAACGGCACUGAGAGUAACUGUUCAGUGUGUGACGGUAUCUUACCAGAAAGGAACGGCUAAAUACGUGCCAGCAGCCGCGGUAAUACGUAUGUUCCAAGCGUUAUCCGGAUUUAUUGGGCGUAAAGCGAGCGCAGACGGUUAUUUAAGUCUGAAGUGAAAGCCCUCAGCUCAACUGAGGAAUGGCUUUGGAAACUGGAUGACUUGAGUGCAGUAGAGGAAAGUGGAACUCCAUGUGUAGCGGUGAAAUGCGUAGAUAUAUGGAAGAACACCAGUGGCGAAGGCGGCUUUCUGGACUGUAACUGACGUUGAGGCUCGAAAGUGUGGGUAGCAAACAGGAUUAGAUACCCUGGUAGUCCACACCGUAAACGAUGAGUGCUAGAUGUUCGAGGGUUUCCGCCCUUGAGUGUCGCAGCUAACGCAUUAAGCA
rnacentral:rRNA from 1 species